rnacentral:ncRNA from 1 species
UUAAAUGCGUAGAAAGAGAAAAGUAGCUAUUUUGCAAUUAUCACAGAGAAGAGGUGUUUGGUGAGAACUUCUAUAAUGAGAAUAGUGAAGUGCCCUCUAGAGCAGAUAGUUUGAAGAAUUAUAGUAGGACUAUCACGGUGCGCCGGUUAUAGCGUAAGUGUAUGAAAGUACAUAGUUAAGUGGGAUUUUAUAGAAUCUAAUUAGGGUGGAACCGCGGAGCAAAAAGCCUCGUCUCUUAU